CAACUGAAGAUCUACCAGGAC
rnacentral:miRNA from 1 species